GAUGAAGAACGUAGCGAAAUGCGAUAAGUAAUGUGAAUUGCAGAAUUCAGUGAAUCAUCGAAUCUUUGAACGCACCUUGCGCUCUUUGGUAUUCCGAAGAGCAUGCCUGUUUGAGUGUCAUGAAAAUAUCAACCUUGACUUGGGUUUUGUGCUCUAGUCUCGGCUUGGAAUUGGGUGCUUGCCGCUUUUACGAGCGGCUCACCUUAAAUGUAUUAGCUGGAUCUGUCUUUGAGACUUGGUUUGACUUGGCGUAAUAAGUAUUUCGCUAAGGACAUUCUUCGGAGUGGCCUCGUUUCUAGGACGCUUGUACGCUUUCCAAUACAAGUUCCACCUCGUGGACAUGACUUUUUAUUAUCUGGCCUCAAAUCAGGUAGGACUACCCGCUGAACUUAAGCAUAUCAAUAAGCGGAGGA
rnacentral:misc_RNA from 1 species